ensembl:lncRNA
CGCGGAUCUGUGUACUGCUAGGAUGGCGUCGACCGGCCCUUAAUUGAUCAGGAUCCAUUCAUUGAAACGCCUGCGCGUGGCGGACUGCGACCUGUCUGCGUUGCCAGGGUAACUGGAUGGAGAGGCGGUGGGAUGAGUUAAAGAAGGCACCAAGAGACGAGGCAGUGAGCAGUAUAAAUCAACUUGAAGAGCCACCUGAUCGCGCCUUCUGGCUCCUGACCUGGAGGGAAAGAUGUCCAUCGUGGCGAAGCUGGUGCACUGUAGCACUAGUAUGUGUGAUGUGGUCUUUCUGCCAGGUGGAGGCGCCAUUGCACACUUCUCUCGGACUGGCUGAAGUGGCGUGGAGGAUACUGUGCUCCGGAUGCCUUUUAGCAGGCCUGGGAGCUUGUGCCAUGCUCUUGAAGAAGAGCCUGGGGCGCAGUGGAAAGGCGGGUCUCGAAGGAGCCGUCCCUACCAGGCGGAGGAGUCUCCCUGGCACGGGCCCUUACAGACAGCCUGCUGCUCUGUGUUCUCCAGGAGUCCCUCUCCCACCCCACCCUGCCCCACGUAGAGGCUCUCCUGGCCAGGCUCAAGAGGGUGUCCCGGACCCUUCAGGGGGCUGAAGGUCUCCCAGCGGCCGGGUCGGACUGUGAGGCCCUCGCGCUGGUGGAGAGAGUGAAGGCCCUCAACACAUACCUGCAUCAGAGGACAAGGACGCUUGGCGGUCUGGUACGGGCGCAGGGGGAGUUUGAGGCGGACGUGGAGGGCCUGCUGGGGGGUCUGGAGCUCCUCUGGACCCAGCUGGAGGAGCUCCACACCAGGGUCACGCUCACCAAGGACUGGAGCCAGGGCCAGGGGGAUCUGGCCAGCACCAAGGCUGAGGCAGAGUUUGUGUCCAGGAUGGUGGGUCAGUACCGGACCAGACUUCAGCUCUGUCAGAACCACCAGAGGGAAACCACUGAGUUGCUGCAGGAGCUGACCUGGACUCACAUAACCAUGAGCGCUCACGUUAGCGACAGCUGCAGCAACGAGUCAGUCUGGACGGAGCUGUUACUACAGUCCAACAUCGAGCAGUUUGACAAGGUCCAGGAGAACUUCCUGUCUGUGGACCAGCAGACCUCUACCUUCCAGGCCCACCUGGACGGGCUGGAACGGGGGGCUCCUGACGGACAAGCCACUGGUCCCCCAACCUGUUCCUCCUCCUCCUCUUCCUCCUCCAGUGCUGCCGGUCGGAUUGGCCCCCGCCACGUUGAGCCCGCCCCUGCCUCCGACACUGUCUCCUCAUUGGACGAAUCCAACCAGGCUUUCCCCUCCUUGGGCGAGGAUAUCGCCCAAACCCUCUGCGAGAGGUCGGCCCUUCAGUUCUCCUCCGCCUUUGGACGCCUUCGGAAAUCUGGAAAGAAGAAAUGAUUCUUAUUUUAUGUUAUUUAAAAAUGUUGCUCUACGGCUUGCGUCAGAGUUACUUAUAUGCGUGUAGCAUUUUCAAGUGUUGAUCGUUUGACUUUUGCUGUUUACUUGUAUUGCAUGUAUUUAUUUGUAACUUUUCAAAGUUUUAUUUUAAUGCAUGAUUGUUAUGAUGCGUCGUCUUCGAAUUAUUAAUUAUUAAUGAAUCACUUUGCAAAACAAAUUAUGUUGUACCGCUGCUUAUCUUUUAGCCUGGUUUAUUACAAAUCGGAUGCCCUCAGAGAAUGAAUGAUUAAACUGUCAGACACAAGGGGGCGUCACACCACCAGGGAUCCGUGCAGUCACCUGCUCAACCAUCACCAUAAAGACAACACGUCUCAUUCAAUACAUCCAGACGCUUCUCUUCAUUUAGUUUCAUGAGGAGAUAGCCAGGUUGUCUGUUCUGUCUGGCUGUUCACCAUAUGGUCUAUAAACACAUUCCUGCACAUGAUUUAACCAUUUUCUGCCAAAGCCCUUUUCUUCCUUUAACUAUUUUCCAAGUUUUAUUGAGGGUCAUCUCAUAUUUUUCUGGUAUGAGACUAAUUCAAUGAGAAAUGUUUUCUAAACUUGAAGCGCAUGAUGAAAAGUGUAUAUGCAAUUCCCCCCCCUCCUCCCCCCCAGUCUUUCAUUUGCUGCUCGCUUUGAACCCUUAUCCAGUGUGACAGAGCUACUUUAGCAGUUAGCUGCAAGCUAAAUGGAUUCCUAUAUGUCCAUGAUUUUAAUAAAAAGGCCCCAACGUCCGAAAGCCUGGAGGGGGAAAAACAUAGAAGUUUUAAGCAAUACCAGACAUUUCCUCGCCCCCCUCCUCCCCUUCCCCAGUCCUGUCUCCCUUUAUCAGAGGCAGUGGACGACAUGAUUUGAGAGCUUCAAAGCAGGGAUUUAAGGUUGGAG